rnacentral:rRNA from 1 species
CCUUUUGUAUAAUGGGUCAGCGACUUAUAUUCUGUAGCAAGGUUAACCGAAUAGGGGAGCCGAAGGGAAACCGAGUCUUAACUGGGCGUUAAGUUGCAGGGUAUAGACCCGAAACCCGGUGAUCUAGCCAUGGGCAGGUUGAAGGUUGGGUAACACUAACUGGAGGACCGAACCGACUAAUGUUGAAAAAUUAGCGGAUGACUUGUGGCUGGGGGUGAAAGGCCAAUCAAACCGGGAGAUAGCUGGUUCUCCCCGAAAGCUAUUUAGGUAGCGCCUCGUGAAUUCAUCUCCGGGGGUAGAGCACUGUUUCGGCAAGGGGGUCAUCCCGACUUACCAACCCGAUGCAAACUGCGAAUACCGGAGAAUGUUAUCACGGGAGACACACGGCGGGUGCUAACGUCCGUCGUGAAGAGGGAAACAACCCAGACCGCCAGCUAAGGUCCCAAAGUCAUGGUUAAGUGGGAAACGAUGUGGGAAGGCCCAGACAGCCAGGAUGUUGGCUUAGAAGCAGCCAUCAUUUAAAGAAAGCGUAAUAGCUCACUGGUCGAGUCGGCCUGCGCGGAAGAUGUAACGGGGCUAAACCAUGCACCGAAGCUGCGGCAGCGACGCUGAUGCGUUGUUGGGUAGGGGAGCGUUCUGUAAGCCUGCGAAGGUGUGCUGUGAGGCAUGCUGGAGGUAUCAGAAGUGCGAAUGCUGACAUAAGUAACGAUAAAGCGGGUGAAAAGCCCGCUCGCCGGAAGACCAAGGGUUCCUGUCCAACGUUAAUCGGGGCAGGGUGAGUCGACCCCUAAGGCGAGGCCGAAAGGCGUAGUCGAUGGGAAACAGGUUAAUAUUCCUGUACUUGGUGUUACUGCGAAGGGGGGACGGAGAAGGCUAUGUUGGCCGGGCGACGGUUGUCCCGGUUUAAGCGUGUAGGCUGGUUUUCCAGGCAAAUCCGGAAAAUCAAGGCUGAGGCGUGAUGACGAGGCACUACGGUGCUGAAGCAACAAAUGCCCUGCUUCCAGGAAAAGCCUCUAAGCAUCAGGUAACAUCAAAUCGUACCCCAAACCGACACAGGUGGUCAGGUAGAGAAUACCAAGGCGCUUGAGAGAACUCGGGUGAAGGAACUAGGCAAAAUGGUGCCGUAACUUCGGGAGAAGGCACGCUGAUAUGUAGGUGAAGUCCCUUGCGGAUGGAGCUGAAAUCAGUCGAAGAUACCAGCUGGCUGCAACUGUUUAUUAAAAACACAGCACUGUGCAAACACGAAAGUGGACGUAUACGGUGUGACGCCUGCCCGGUGCCGGA